rnacentral:rRNA from 1 species
GUGGGGAAUAUUGGACAAUGGGCGAAAGCCUGAUCCAGCCAUGCCGCGUGAGUGAUGAAGGCCUUAGGGUUGUAAAGCUCUUUCAGUAGGGAAGAUAAUGACGGUACCUACAGAAGAAGCCCCGGCUAACUUCGUGCCAGCAGCCGCGGUAAUACGAAGGGGGCUAGCGUUGUUCGGAUUUACUGGGCGUAAAGCGCACGUAGGCGGAUUGGUCAGUUAGAGGUGAAAUCCUGGAGCUCAACUCCAGAACUGCCUUUAAUACUGCCAGUCUAGAGUACAGAAGAGGUGAGUGGAACUCCUAGUGUAGAGGUGGAAUUCGUAGAUAUUAGGAAGAACACCAGUGGCGAAGGCGGCUCACUGGUCUGGUACUGACGCUGAGGUGCGAAAGCGUGGGGAGCAAACAGGAUUAGAUACCCGAGUAGUCC